AUCAAGGUUUAUAGAUAUUUUCUAUUCACACUGUUUUUGUAUUUAAGGGGUUGGGAGUGACCCUAGGACAGCGGCUAGUUUGCACUUAUUGACACCGUGUGCUCCACUCAUUCAUUUAUAAUUGUUUUUUGCACCAGGUGCAAAUCAAUAUCAGUGCAGGUUAGUGACACUCAAGCUCUAUUUAAAUUUAUUUGUGUAGCUUUAUGAAAACUGGAGUUGGGGGCUUAGAGUAUGUAUUCAUAGAAAGUCUAGUUUCCUGUCCAUUCUUAGCCUUCCUUCUUAUCUCAUGUCAGAACUUACAUUUUGUCUUCCAUGCAAGUAUUCUGUUUGAAGUGGUUCUCCACGAAAGGGACAAAAAAAAACACACUUUAAAAAGGACAAAAUACAUAAAAAUUAUAUUGAGUGUCCAGGAGACCCCACCCGCCC